UGAGUAAAUUUGUAAUCCCAUUAAGUAUUUUUUGAGCUUUCCAACAGUUUUAAUUAUUAUUGGGAAAUAAAUCAGAGAAGUCUCUAAAGCAACAAAGAAUUAUUGAGGUUUCGUUUGUUUGGGGAUUUUAAGGUCUAGUACUGUGGUAUUUUUUGAUAAAGCAUCAGCUGUAAUAGCUUUGUAGUACAGUUAUCAAAUUAAAUAAAAAGGGAUGUAAGUAGUCAUAAAAAUUGCUCAUUAAAGCUGAUCGCCUUUUUUUAAAUGCCACCAAAGCUUUGGAGGGUGGAGAAUAACCCAGUUGAAAAUCUACAAGCAAUGCUGUCCACAUCCCAAAUAGACUGGUCAAAAAGCCUUCAUCCCGUCAGUCACUGACAUCAACUUCAUCCAAAUCAGACUCCUAAAAACCCGGCCUAACUUAUGUGUCAUGCAAAGGAUGGCUCUUGGAAAAAUGCAAAGAAGCAGGGGCCGCUAAGGGAGAGAUGUGAAGGUCAAGGAAGCUCUGAGCUCCUGACAGCCGCCCUUCCAGCCUUCUCCUGCCUUCCAUAGAGAGAUGCUAUGGACUCUUGGUCCAGAGACUCAAAUUCAAGGAAAAGAAGAGGCAACAUUUGCAGUGUUGAUCCUUGAGUUGAACAAAGAGUGGUCAGGAGAAGAAACCAACAAGAAAUGUAACCUACCUCCAGAACUCAGGAACUCAGGUACCCUUAAGGAUAUCAGAAACAAUGAAAUAUGGAUUGGCAGAAGCAUCUUCACCACCAUCUUCAGAUGUAAUUAAUGCAGCUGUUGAAUUUGGUUGACUAUCCACCUAUAAUUACCACAUUGCCCAUUACAGAUUUUUGCUGCCUUUUCUUGCCUCCUUUUCAUUUUUACAUCCACUUAUUCCCUACAGAAAUGACAGAUAAUCAGCAUUUUUGUUUUCUUGUUAUGUUGUCCUGAUAGUACAGCUACAAAUGGAUUUGAUGUGCUGAAUAAUGGUCUACUAGGCCUAAAAAUGAAAGUCUAGACCCUUAGUCAAAAAUAACUUGGAUCUAUGUGGUACCAAGAAAAGAGGAAUUAUAAGAAAAAGAAUAUUAGUUUAAUGUUCUGUAAAUUUUUUUCUUAACCUAUUCUGUCCAGUAUUUACUACUUGGCUGCAUUCCUAAAACAUAAAUUUCACAGGGGCAGGAGUCUUUGUCCAUUUUGCUCAUUAAUGUGUUAGGAAUACUAAAAAGAGUGUCUAGCGGGGUAGUCACAUAAUAAAUACCUGUUGCAUGAACAAAUGGGCUCUUAUCAGCAGCAUUUUGUUGAGUUCCUAACAUUAGCGGUACACUGGCACUGUCCUGAGUGAAAUUAAAGACAGAAUUUUCACAAAUAGAAGCAUGUUAGAAGAAUCACCUAACAAUAAGACAAUCUACACUCUAUGAAAGCAGAACACAACCCACCAGAGGGAAUGAGAAAAAGGAAGGGGUGGAACCGAGCCAAGGAAUCUUUUGCCAAGGGGAGAAAAAAAAAAAAAAAUAAAGGCCAGAGAAGAAAAUGCAGCAGGUGCGCACAGGUUUGACACCUGGUCGACCACAGUAUCUCCCAAAGUGCCACAUUCCAAUAGGCUUUUGGAGAACCAUGGUCAAAUACAUCUGUGAAAUGAUCAUCUAACCAAAGUUUAAAACGUCCCUUUUUACUACACCACUUUUUGACCCUUUGCCAAAGGGUUUUGUAACUUUCCAACAGGGGUCGUUGAUGACAGAAUUAUAUGUAUAUAUGUAUGUCUGUGUAGAAUUUUCUCUUUUUUUUUUCCAGAUGGAGUCUCGCUCCGUCACCCAGGUUGGAGUGCACUGGCACAAUCUCGGCUCACUGCAACCUCCGCCUCCUGGGUUCAAGUGAUUCUUUUGCCUCAGUCUCUUCAGUAGCAGGGGUUACAGGCACGCACCAUCAUGCCCAGCUAAUGUUUUUUUUUUUUAAGCAAAGACUAGGUUUCACCAUGUUGGCCAGGCUGGUCUCGAACUCCUGACCUCAAGUGAUCCACCCACCUCAGCCUCCCAAAGUGCUGGGAUUACAGGCAUGAGGCACCGCACCCAGCCAAUGUGUGUAGAAUUUCAACGGACAUGUCUAACAUGGAACAUAUUAUGGAAAAAUGUUAAUCCAAACACAACAUUGUAAGAGGGUGCUGAGGCUAGACCUCAGCUGCACUGAAUGGCUGGCAGCUCUGAAGCUGGAAUAUGUCUCUGGGUCACUUUCUUCUGGGUCAUCUUAACUGACAAGUGCAUGGAAAAUGCUUAAGUGUCUACUCCCAUUGAUCUCAGAGCAGAAGAAUGACACAAGCUUCAAGCAGGUUUGUCAAGGAUUGCAAUUAUUAUGGGCAGGUGCUUCUCUGCAAAUAUUAUAUUCAUGAAUGUUAUGGGAUUCUUCCAGGAGAGCCUAGCUACAGGGAGUUGCAGGGAUGUGGAAACUCAAAGAAAGAAGACAUGAUAUAGAGAACUCUGGAGGAGACAAGCAGACCCCAGCAAAAUGGCCAUGGGUUAGGGUUAUGAAGAAAAAAUAACCGACAACAAGCCUAAGCAAUGGGAGAGGUCAAGGAAUUUUAAGAUCAGAAAAUUUUAAUUAUAAGAGCAGAUAUCAAGUUUUAAACUUUACUCUCCUUUGUGGUAAUUUCUGGAAGUGAGUAUCUCUUCUUAGUUAAGUUUGUGAAAGAUGACAGCUUUCAGAUACCCAUGGCUGAUAAUCUUGGAAAGAAAACCAACUGAUAGACAAAGAACCUGGUUCCCCCCAACCAUCAUACUUGUAACACUAACUUGCCUGUGUCAUUGAGGUGAUGUAAUGAGGGGAAAUCUAAGGGUACUCUGAAUCACCCCCAAAACCACAGGCGGAUUUUCUCUAGGAACUUCUCUUGCAUUGUUAGCUAGAUUCCUCUGUAAGGAUUAAGUAAGUAUAAACACCUACAUGGCACUAAAGCAUAAAUAAUCUGUCAACAAUUUAGGCAAACAAUGAGAUAAAGUGCAUGGCACUUUGGGCAGAACUACUGAUGAUUAAAAGAGAAUGUACCUGAAUAAAAUUUACACCAAUACCAGCUAAUGCAACAGGUUGCAAAAAUUUGUUAAAUUUCUCAUCCCAGCCUCAAAGAAAUAACUAAAAAUAAAAGGAAAUUCAAAAGAAAAAAUGGUAUUAAAAUUCAGAGAACAAAAUGAUUUCUUAUCACUUGUAGAUGACCUUUCUAAAAUUUUUUAUUUUUAUUUUUGUAGAGAAAGGAUCUUGCUGUGUUGCCCAACCUGGUCUCAACCCCCUGGCCUCAAGUGAUCCUUCUGCCUCAGCUUCCUGAGUCAGUAGGGUUAGGAGCAUAAGCCACUGCACCUGUCUCAUGUAACCUCUCUUAGUGCAGAGAUUUUCUUUGUUGGUUGCUAUAUAUACCAGCACCCAUAUUAAUACCUGCCCAGAGUAGGUGAUCAAUAAUUAUUAGUUGAAUGAAUGAAGGUGAAAUAAUUACUGAGCAUCUGCUACAUAUUAGGAGCUGCAUAAAUCACAGUGCCUAUUGAAAGGUUGCUAUUAUCCCUGUUUUGCAGAUGAGGAAACGUGACUUACAGAAGUAACUUUCCUAAAUUCAAAAAACUGGUAGGUGGCAGAGACAAAUCCAGAAUCCAGGUAUGACCUAAAUGCUCAUGCUCUUUCCACCUCAUUCCUGUCAGACCCAAUAUAUUUUCUAUAAUAAAUAUUUUAAUGUGUCCUUUACUGUCGUGAAAUCAAUUCAGAGAACAUAUCUUUGCAUACGUAAGUUCAGAAAAAUCAAUGCAGUGUCCUCACUGUAAAACGAAAUAUAAAAGGAAUGUAACUUAAGACAAUGAAUACGCAGGUAUGAUCACAGCAGAAGACAAUGAAACAGAUCCUUGCCCUCAUCCAUAGAAUUAUCCUGACUGUAGAUCUGCAAAUGCAGAAUGAUAGAAGUGAUAGGUAUUGGAUAUUCAAAUACCUGAGUGCACUGCCAUUGACUUGGUAACAUUCCAAACAAAACAAUAUGCAAUUUUCUCCACGUAUGCGGUAGUUGAACUUCUGGAAAAGUCACUGUAUAUUAAAAUUAUGUAAAAAUACUGGACACAGAAUACUACUUUAAAAAAAAAAAUACAGAUGAGGUCUCACCAUGUUGGCCAAGCUGGUCUUGAACUCCUGGGCUCAAGCGCUCCUUCCACCUUGGCUUCCGAAAGUGCUGGGAUUACAGGCACGAGCCACUACGUGCCUGGCCACAGAAUACUUCUUCGUUGAACAGAACUAGCUCCUACCCACUGAACACCAGAAGUGCCUGCUAGUCUAGUGAACAAAAAAACUUCACACAUUUUUAAAAUUCCACAGAGGACACAGUGCCACCUUAUGCCUCACUGGUCUUCAAGAACAGUAAGAGGCCAAAGGAAGAGACUAACUUUUUUAUUUGUACAAACUUACAAGGUACAUGAGAAACUGUGUAAUAUGUCUAUAAUGCGUAAUGACCAAGCCGUGGUAUUUAGGGUGUCCAACACCCAAGUACACUACAUUUUUGUUAAGCAUAGUCAUCCCACUCUGCUACUGAACGGUGAAUGUUUUCCUUCUAUCUUACUGUAUGUUUGUACCCUUUAACAAGCUUCUCUUCAUCCUCCACCUCCUCCCCACCCACCUUUCUCAGUCUCUCUCUCCACUCUCUACCUAAUUCUCUCUAUCAAAUUCUUUAGCUGCCACAUAUAAUUGAGAACAGGCAAUAUUUGUCUUUCUGCACCUGGCUGAUUUCACUUAAGAUAAUGACUUCCAACUCCAUCUAUGUCGCUGCAAAUGACAUGAUUUCAUUCUUGUUUUAUGGCUGAAUAUUACUCCAUUGUGUAUGUAUGUGUAUAUAUGUGUGUAUUUAUGUGUAUAUAUAUAUACACACACAUAUACAUACAUAUAUACAUACACACAUACACAUACAUACAUAUAUACAUACACACAUACACAUACAUACAUAUAUACAUACACACAUACACAUACACACACACACACACACACAUAUAUAUAUCACAUUUUAUCAGUUCAUCCAUUCAUGAACACUUA
rnacentral:lncRNA from 10 species